GCCUGGGUGGCACAAUUGGUUAGCGCGUGAGACUUUUAAGAAAUAUCGAAUUUCAAGAAAAUCUUAAGGUUGAGGGUUCGAGCCCCUCCUCGGGCG
rnacentral:tRNA from 1 species